UCAAGAAACUUCCACAAUGGGCGAAAGCCUGAUGGAGCGACGUCGCGUGAUGGACGAAGUGCUUCGGCACGUAAACAUCUUUUAUGUGGGACGAAAUUAUUGACGGUACCACAUGAAUAAGGGGCUCCUAACUCUGUGCCAGCAGGAGCGGUAAUACAGAGGCCCCAAGCGUUAUCCGGAAUCACUGGGCGUAAAGGGUGUCGAGGCGGUCAUGUUAGUCGUUCGUAAAAUCCGUGGGCUCAACCUACGGCCGGCGAGCGAAACGGCAUGACUUGAGGUUGGGAGAGGUGCAUGGAACUCACGGUGUAGGGGUGAAAUCCGUUGAUAUCGUGGGGAACACCAAAGGCGAAGGCAGUGCACUGGCCCAAAUCUGACGCUCACACACGAAAGCUAGGGUAGCGAACGGGAUUAGAUACCCAAGUAGUCCCUGAGCGGGCUGGCAAGGCGCAU
rnacentral:rRNA from 1 species